GACGAAGGAUGCAAGCGUUAUCCGGAUUCAUUGGGUUUAAAGGGAGCGUAGGUGGUCUGCUAAGUCAGUGGUGAAAUCUCUGGGCUUAACCCAGAAAUUGCCAUUGAUACUGGUGGGCUUGAGUGCAGUUGCUGUUGGCGGAAUAUGACAUGUAGUGGUGAAAUACAUAGAGAUGUCAUAGAACACCGAUUGCGAAGGCAGCUAACAAAACUGUAACUGACACUGAGACACGAAAGCCAGGGGAGCGAACGGG
rnacentral:rRNA from 1 species